UUAAGGACAUCACUCCAACUACAGAAAGUUGGAAGAUUGAAAUGAGAGUGUUAGAAAAAUCUGGAAAGCGGACAAGCAAGAGUUCACCACUCAAAUAUCAAAAGCUUAUGUUAGCAGAUAAAAAGGUAUACAAUUAGUUUAUUUACCGUUGAAAUUGUCAAUACUCUACUAAUAAAUGCUAUAUUUUCCGAAUUCUGACUAUAAACACGCUGCAACAAAUUAUUAUUUCAUAAAUGUAUUUUUUUCCUUAAAAAUGAACACAAGGUAAUGAUGUUGAAGCAGUAAUAUUUGGCACUGAAAUUGAUGCUAGAGAAAACACUUUGGAAGUGUUCCACACUUACUACAUCAGCAACGCCUAUGUAAAAAAAAACAGCCCCACCUUUCGAUAAAAAGCAAGACUACAAAUAUUCUUGGACAGUGAACUCAAGAACAGAAAUGAAGAAAUCCAAACAGAAGACAAACCAGAUAUUUUGGCUAUUGCUCUCAAAAUGAACCCACUAAAAGAAGUCAACACUCCCUAUGAACUACAUACAAUUCAAGAGAUAUAUUUAAUUGAUGAAAGUUGUAGCUUCAAACGAGUAUGUUUGACGAUGUGGGGGCAUAAAUUCCACGAUGAAUGCUUACAAAUAGCAGAAGUAAUCGAAGACAGACCCAUAAUAUUGGGAUCAAAACUAAUUGUUCAAACCAAGAGAGGUUAUUGCAUUAAUUAAACUACUGAUAUUUAAAAGCAAAAAUUCAAAAAUUCAAUUAACACAUACAUUUUGAUUUAGGGCUGUCUCUAUCGUCACGCGACACGAGUACCUUCAAAAUCAAUCCUCAACUCCCAGAGGCAGAAGCACUGAAGGAAUGGUAAUACUCAUAAAAUCAAAUACACAUACUAUUAUAGCUACACAUUUUACAAAAAAAAUUAAAUUUUUGUAUACUAUAUUUAUAAUAAUACUUACUCUAUUUUAAGGGCGGAGAGUAACGAAAUAAAAAUUAAAAACGCAAUAGCAAACUGCUUGACGUAUGAAUCUUCUCCAAAAUCUUUUGUUGGAUUACACGAAAUAGUGACUAACAUCCAAAUUUCAGAGUUGACGAAAAAUCUGCAACUGAAUGAGGUAAAAACUACUAUAAUAUUUACUUUAUAAAACUUUCGUUUCAAUAUCUUACUAUUAUUAACACCAUAUGAUUUGGAUGUAGAAAAAAUAUUUUUGUAUUGAGGCGGCAAUAAAAAUAACUGAUA